UACAGAGGUCCCAAGCGUUGUUCGGAUUUACUGGGCGUAAAGGGUGUGUAGGAGGUCGGAUUAGUCGGAUGUGAAAUCCCAUCGCUUAACGGUGGAACUGCAUUCGAUACUGUCCGGCUAGAGGAUCGGAGAGGAGAGCGGAAUUCUUGGUGUAGCGGUGAAAUGCGUAGAUAUCAAGAGGAACACCAGCGGCGAAAGCGGCUCUCUGGAAGACUCCUGACUCUGAAACACGAAAGCCAGGGGAGCAAACGGG
rnacentral:rRNA from 1 species